rnacentral:rRNA from 1 species
GACGAACGCUGGCGGCGCGCCUAACACAUGCAAGUCGAACGGAGUUCUUUGAAUGAAGUUUUCGGAUGGAUUUCAUUGAACUUAGUGGCGGACGGGUGAGUAACACGUGAGGAACCUGCCUCAGAGAGGGGAAUAAUGGUUGGAAACGACCACUAAUACCGCAUAAUGCAGUAAGAUGGCAUCAUCAUACUGCCAAAGAUUUUAUCGCUCUGAGAUGGCCUCGCGCCUGAUUAGAUAGUUGGUGGGGUAACGGCCUACCAAGUCGACGAUCAGUAGCCGGACUGAGAGGUUGAUCGGCCACAUUGGGACUGAGACACGGCCCAGACUCCUACGGGAGGCAGCAGUGGGGAAUAUUGCACAAUGGGGGAAACCCUGAUGCAGCGACGCCGCGUGUAGGAAGACGGUCCUCUGGAUUGUAAACUAUUGUCAUUAGGGAAGAACAGAUGACGGUAGCCUUGGAGGAAGCCACGGCU